CGUAGGUGAACCUGCGGA
rnacentral:ncRNA from 17 species